GGGGUUGUGGCUCAGUGGUAGAGUUCUCGCCUCGCAUGUGUGAGGCCCUGGGUUUGAUCCUCAGCACCA
rnacentral:tRNA from 1 species